UGUAGGAGCCGGCUUGCUGGCGAUGGCAUCACUGCGGUGUAACCUGAAUGACCGCAGUGAUGCUAUCGCCAGCAAGCCGGCUCCUACA
rnacentral:misc_RNA from 1 species